CAAUAAGUGUUUUAUGGCACUUUUUAAACAAUCCAUAUCCACCUUGUGUGCAACGUUUUGAGACCGUCUAUCGUCACCUUUUGGGGUGAUGGAAGGCGGAACCUCUAUAAUUUACCAACAUCACCUUUAACUUAUUUGUCUGAACAUUUGUUAUCACGAAUUAACUUAAUUCGAAAAUA
rnacentral:misc_RNA from 1 species